AGAAAUACGUUGAAGGAGCCUAGUAGCGAGGUUGUCACUGUUCAUUUAGAAAGCUAGGGGUGAUGCGACCUAGUACAAACAAACUUGUGAAUUACACUCUGGAGUAUCUUAGGUAAUGCUAAGCGGAUUAGCAAACGAUAUGAUUGCUGAGAGAGGUAUUAAUAGUUUAUAAAACAAUUUGCUAUUAAUACAAUUUGGGUGGUAACACGGUUAGAAUCGUCCCUAUG
rnacentral:ncRNA from 1 species